AUUGAACGCUGGCGGAAUGCUUUACACAUGCAAGUCGAGCGGCAGCGCGGGGGCAACCCUGGCGGCGAGCGGCGAACGGGUGAGUAACAUAUCGGAACGUACCCAGUCGUGGGGGAUAACUAUCCGAAAGGAUAGCUAAUACCGCAUACGUCCUGAGGGAGAAANCGGGGGAUCGCAAGACCUCGCGCGAUUGGAGCGGCCGAUAUCGGAUUAGCUAGUUGGUGGGGUAAAGGCUCACCAAGGCGACGAUCCGUAGCGGGUCUGAGAGGACGACCCGCCACACUGGAACUGAGACACGGUCCAGACUCCUACGGGAGCAGCAGUGGGGAAUUUUGGACAAUGGGGGCAACCCUGAUCCAGCCAUUCGCGUGAGUGAAGAAGGCCUU
rnacentral:rRNA from 1 species